ensembl:lncRNA
GGUCAGUGGGAUUAUGCAACAGAAUGUGCAAGGGUGAUGUCCUGCAAGCCGGGGGACACUUUGGAUCCAGAGAUAUAUUAUGGGUGCAAGGACAGUUAAGGGAGAUAAAUGAGACAGAAGCUGAUGGAGUUUAGCCAGAUUGGAAUGUUCAGGUUGCCCUCCUCCCUGUCCUAGGGGAAAGCAUCUGCUUUGGAAGAAACUCUGCUUGAGUGGACUUCCAAGAGAGGAAAACAGGAAUGGUCUUUGUCUUGAGACAAGGUGGAUUCCUGGCUGUUCUGGUGCUGAUGCAGAGUGAAGACAAAGAAAGGGGUUUUGUUACAGAGAAAAAGAUACUCUUUAUCCCUCCCCCUCCAUUCCAUGAGUUUCUGCACUGUCUUAGACAUCCAAGUUUGAUAAUUAAAUUGUAUUACUAUUGAUCAUGUUUGACCAUUUUAUUCUUUUGCAAAGGACUUUUUUUCUGUCCUUUUGAAAAGCACAAGGAAAUGUAAACUGAACAACUAAGUUUUGAAUACCCAUUUCCACCUCCUUAUAUAUUUGCCACAAAUCAUUCUAG